AGUCGAGGGGUAUGGGCUUUCGGGCCCAGAGACCGGCGCACGGGUGCGUAACGCGUAUGCAAUCUACCUUUUACAGCGGGAUAGCCCAGAGAAAUUUGGAUUAAUACCACAUAGUAUUAUAGGAUGGCAUCAUUUUAUAAUUAAAGUCACAACGGUAAAAGAUGAGCAUGCGUCCCAUUAGCUAGUUGGUAAGGUAACGGCUUACCAAGGCAACGAUGGGUAGGGGUCCUGAGAGGGAGAUCCCCCACACUGGUACUGAGACACGGACCAGACUCCCACGGGAGGCAGCAGUGAGGAAUAUUGGACAAUGGGCGCAAGCCUGAUCCAGCCAUGCCGCGUGCAGGAUGACGGUCCUAUGGAUUGUAAACUGCUUUUAUACAGGAAGAAACCCUUGCUCGUGAGCAAGAUUGACGGUACUGUAAGAAUAAGGAUCGGCUAACUCCGUGCCAGCAGCCGCGGUAAUACGGAGGAUCCAAGCGUUAUCCGGAAUCAUUGGGUUUAAAGGGUCCGUAGGCGGUUUAAUAAGUCAGUGGUGAAAGCCCAUCGCUCAACGGUGGAACGGCCAU
rnacentral:rRNA from 1 species